rnacentral:rRNA from 1 species
GAACAGGAAAGAGCCCAGCACUGAAUCCCGCCGUUGUAACGGCGGCGGGAGAUGUGGUGUUCGGGAGGUUCCGCUUUCUUGUCGUCGUCCACUCCUGUCCAAGUUCGUCUUGAACGGGGCCCAUUUCCCAUAGAGGGUGCCAGGCCCGUAGCGACGGAGGACGUCGGCGAGAGGAACUCUCCUCAGAGUCGGGUUGCUUGAGAGUGCAGCCCUAAGUGGGUGGUAAACUCCAUCUAAGGCUAAAUAUUACCGCGAGACCGAUAGCGAACAAGUACCGUAAGGGAAAGUUGA